UACAGAGGUCUCAAGCGUUGUUCGGAUUCAUUGGGCGUAAAGGGUGCGUAGGCGGCGCGGUAAGUCGGGUGUGAAAUCUCGGAGCUUAACUCCGAAACUGCAUUCGAUACUACCGUGCUUGAGGACUGGAGAGGAGACUGGAAUUCAUGGUGUAGCAGUGAAAUGCGUAGAGAUCAUGAGGAAGACCAGUGGCGAAGGCGGGUCUCUGGACAGUUCCUGACACUGAGACACGAAGGCCAGGGGAGCAAACGGG
rnacentral:rRNA from 1 species